CCAAUGUUGCCGGCAGUAUGGGAGAGCAGCAGGUCAUCUACAAAAAUCUGCUCUGCAGCCCCUCAUAAGAUAGCUGCUUAUGUAGGAAAUGUGUGUCAGAGCAAUCAUUCAUCCAUCACUCACGGGCUGCUGGACAACCACGCCAAAGUGGUCCUCCCAUGAGGAGCCAGGAAUACAACGAAAUAUGACGGAACCUACGAAAACUAAGCUAAGAAAAUGAACAUGACUGCGCAUUUUCUUUUCAAGGCCUGUAUGAAGUAAUUAGGGAAGUAACUCAGCUGUGAAUCCAGCAAGCAGAACGGAUAAGCAUGGUCAGACCGACCCACCAGGAGUCAACAUCAUCUCAUCAACAUCACAUCAUUGCCUAACAAUAGCUGAUGCCUACAGAUGCCAGGC